CGUGCCAUUUCUUUGAUAUUCAACAUCAUGGGAAAUCAACCUAAUUAAGACUGCCAUAAUCGGCCCUCAAUAUUGUGCUCCAGCUACACAUCCCGUUGAUUUGAUAAUCACAAGGGAUAUAAGUUUGAGAGUUAAUUUCACUAUCAAAGAUAUCAACAAAAAUGUUGUUUUCAAAGUUAAAAGUCCUCUUGCAACCAUUCUAACACCUCGCCAACACAGAUUCUUAUAUGAUGCUAAUGGAAACCUCAUUCUCCAUCUUCAAGAAUCGCUGCUUGUAAAGGAUAGUUGGAAAGCAUUUAGAGGUGAAAGUAUAGAACCAAAGCAUCUAAUCUUUAGAAAGAAGAGAUCCUCUUUACUUCAGCUAAAGACAAAAUUAAAUGUGUUUUUGGCAAGUAACAACACAGGAGUUUGUGACUUCACUGUCAAAGGAAGUUUUUUUGGACUGUCUUGGAAGGUUUACAGUGGCAAUUCCAAUAUUGUUGUUGCUAAGAUAAUUAAGCUUGGAGGUAUAUUUAGUAGGGAAAAGUUCAUAGUCAACAUAUGCCCGAACAUCGAUUGUGCAUUCAUUGUGGCUCUCAUUGUGUCACUCCCCAAAUGAAAUUAAACGUAUCUUCAUCGCUAUUUUUUAAAUGUGUAUUUUUUUUUUCUGCAAUUGUAAAGAUAAAUAAGG